CCGCGUUGAUGGGCAGGCAGCUUGUUUGUGAUGCCCAAGCAGCUGCUGGACGGACUGAGGAGUCGAGUACCCGGUGCUCGAUUCGGUGGACACUCUUUGAGACUCAGUCCGGCACUUUUUCUUUCGCUGUCUUAACAAGCUCUACGUUUUCUUUUCUAACGGCUUCUUUCUUCUUUGCUUUCCUUUCGCCCUCACCGUGAACUUAAGGACUGAGCCGCCGGGUUUUGCGCUUCUCUCGCAAAGCCCAUGCAGCUCCCGCGAGGCCCCCAAUGAGACGCGCAGACGAUGGAGCUGCACAUAUUGGAGCACAGUCUGAAAGUGGCAAGCAUAGCCAAGGAGGGGAUCCAGCUGUUCACUCACGGACUCAUCAAACUAGCUUUUCUUCGCUCCAGAACAGGGUGUAAAUUCUUCAGCCUGACUGAAACACCAGAGGAUUAUACCAUUAUUGUUGAUGAAGAAGGCUUUAGAGAGCUUCCUGAGUCGGAAUUCCUGAGUGUGGCUGAGGCAACUUGGCUGGCCCUCAAUGUUGUCUCGGGUGGUGGAAGUAACUCUGGCUCUCAGCCAAUCGGAGUCACAAAAAUUGCCAAGUCAGUGAUUGCACCCCUUGCAGACCACAACAUAUCAGUGUUCAUGUUAUCUACAUACCAGACUGACUUCAUUCUGGUACGAGAACGGGACCUGCCUUUGGUUAUGCAUACCCUGGCCGCGGAGUUUACACUACUGCGUGUUAUCAAUGGAGAGACAGUUGCAGCUAACAGCCUGGCAGUAACCAAUGGAUUCGUGAAGCCCAAGCUAGUUCAGAGGCCUAUUAUUCAUCCACUGUCCAGUCCCAGCAAUAUGUUCUGUGUGACAAGCCUUGACCCCGAAACACUGCCCUCUGUUGCCACUUUGCUGAUGGAUGUUAUGUUUUAUUCUGGAGGAAUGAAAGAAUCAGCAGUGGCAGAAGAUUCUGGUCAUAUUCGUUUUUUCUCCUUUUCUUUGAUAGAGGGCUACAUUUCCUUGGUCAUGGAUGUGCAGACUCAACAGAGAUUCCCCAACAACGUUCUCUUCACAAGCGCUUCAGGAGAACUUUGGAAAAUGGUGCGAAUUGGAGGGCAGCCACUUGGAUUCGAUGAGUGUGGAAUAGUGGCCCAGAUCUCUGAACCUCUUGCUGCUGCUGACAUUCCUGCUUAUUAUAUCAGCACUUUCAAGUUUGACCAUGCACUGGUCCCUGAAGAAAACAUCCAAAGUGUAAUCAGCGCCUUGCAGACCAGCAGUGAUCAACGGAAGUAAAGAGAAGUGGUGGCAAUUUAGGAGGGAAGGGUAGCCUUCUGCUAUACAGCUCUUUAUCUAUAAAAGACUGAACACUCUUAAAAGUGCCAAGAGGCUAUGUGAACGAAGAAGGAAAAAAAGGCCAAAACAGACAAAAAGGCCUUAUCUACCCAGCUCUGCACUCCCUUCCAAACUGUGCUAGUCUGCCACACUUGUCUGAGCCCAAAGCUAAUAUUACUGUAAUGUUGCUCAAUUCCCUCCAUAUCGCCUUUGUUUUUGUAAUAAGAUGACCUUCCGUACCAACUUGCCUGUUUUGAAGAGCAUGGAAAGAUGGGCUGAGAGGGAGAUUUGGAAUGGAGGGAAAAAGCGCCUAUUCUUUGUGUUUUGGUCUUAUUUCUCCUCUCUACUCGGUGUUUUCUACUUCUUGGUAUUUCCAAAGGGGAGAUCAGCCAAAGGAAACUGCUCAGGCCCUGGUCUGCACUUUAUAUCUGAGGCUUUGUUGCUGGAUUACUGAAUACACAGACUUGACCAGCUGUCCCCAGAGAAAACCAGACAGUGUUGAAUUAUUUUAGUUUGGGGAGGGCUUAGAUGUGGUUGAAUUAAGAGAUUGAUAUUUUUAGAGUAAAUCUAAAAUACUCAUAGAUUUUUUUAAUGAAGCCAUAUGCUAGGAUAACAGAGAUUUGAAUAAAUAACUUGUUAGGCUCGGGCUCCUUUUGACAUGUGAAAACUUGUGUACUUAAAGCUAACAUGCAACUCUGGUGGUAAAUUGAAGGUUAUUUUCAAAACUGGAAAUAGAACACAAAAAGAAGGAAAAAAAACAACUAAGUGCUGGUACUGAAUAUUGUUAUUUGCAAAUAAGACUCAACAUAUCAGUUCUCAGAGUUGAGUACGGUGCUGGUGUUUAGUCUAACAAAGCAUGAUUUACAAAAGAAUCGGGGUGUCAGUCUGACUAAUACUCAAGCCGUUUUCUAAUGUGAUUCAACACAAGUUGACAACCUUGUAGCCAUGUACUGUGUGCUUUACUUUUCUGCAUAUUCUGCUUGUGCCAUUGCUUCUCAUCAGAUUGCUUUAAGAAUGAGGUUGUCAAGCAGAACAGAGACCAACAAUAGCUUAAUUCUCACCUGAUUUGGACAGUUUAUACUAUAAAUUGGUGUUUUAAUAAGCAAUCAAAGCUUCCCUAUCACAGUGUGCAUCUUGUAGAAGAGAGAAAUAUUGUUCAGGACAGGAUUCUUUACAAAAUGACAGGAGGAGUUAAAAUACAGUGUACCUCCUCGGAUAAACAUAAAAGCAAAAAUUAUAGAUAAUGCAGAGAAGAUGCAUUUACCUAUCAGCCAACUUGAAAACAUCAUAUAGUCCAUUAAAAUGGAAGAAAUUCUGCACUUUUUAAAUGGUGUCCAAUAUUCUGAUGUUUAGUAGUUUAUUGUCCUGCACUGAUGGGGACAGAAUGUAAUUUAUUAUGGGGCUGCACUAGCACACAUUAUGAUCAAAAAUGUCUUUGUGGAUAGUAUUGUCCGUUUUAGGUGCCAAAACAAGAUCGUCAAUAACAGCUGCUAGUUUUGUUCCAGUUUUCUAAUUAGAUUCCAGAUCUAUCCUUUAAUUCUUGAAUUAGGUUUCUAUAGCAUCCUAACUGGUUUGGAAAAAUGUUCAUUUACAUCUUCUGUUUUUUUUUUUUUUUUUUACACACAUUAUUUAACAUUUUACCUUUUACACUGCCAGUUCCUUGGAUGUUUAGAACAUAUUUGAAUCCUUCUAAAAAUUAUACAUUAAGUACAUAAAAUUGGUACCCUUUUUAUUAGCUACAUUGGAUAAGUAAGUUCUUUACAGAAUGGCUUGCUUCCCUUUAAAGUGCCUGACAAUGUCUUAUAUUUUAUAAAUCUGCUCCAAAAUAUUGACAUAACAAGUAAUGCACAUAUUACUUUAAGAGGCAAAUAAAAGAAAUGGGCAUAGGGGACAGUAUUUUAAGUUGUCCAUGUUGCUUUAACAGUAAUACAACUAAAGAAAGCUAAUUCAUGAGUUUCAUAUACACAAUAUGUUGUAGUCUACUCACAGUAGCAAGAAUGAAAUGUGACCCUUAUAUAAAAUAUUAAUUAGAUUAAAUUAAAUAUCUACAGAAACUGAGCAGUUUUGAGAGUGAGAGUCAACACUUUCAGACCCCAAAAACAAGCUUUCAUGCAGUUUAAAAUUUCUAAAUGUGAAGGAAACUUUUUUUCCUUUUGACAGUAGCAUAUAGCUUUAACUAUUAAGUGGUCUUUGGCCACAAGCCUCUUCUACAUCAUCCAACCUAAUAUUCAUUUUUCCCCAUUUGAAAAGGGGUUUCAUUUUUUGUUAAAAGUUAACAAGUCUAUAUACAGGGAUCAUAUCAGUGAUAAAUAAUUUGGUAAUUCAUUCUCAUUUUUUUAACAUUUGAAAGUUUUGUAAUGCACACACAUCAUUCACUGAAAAAAGAAUUCAAAUAUAAAUUAAUAACACCAGUUCUUUGUAUAAAAAGCCAUGGUAGCAAUAAUGAGCUUUUCAGGAUAUCUUAGAAGAGCUAGCACAAACAUGCCUUUGCACUUCAUACAGACUGUGAACAGAAACAGGAUACUUUAACUAGGAAUUCUGAAAAACAAAAUAAUCUCUUGUAAAAAAUAACCAUCUCAAUAAAAAAAACAGAGCAGCCUUUUAAUAUUUAUAUUUUAAAACUUAUAUUUGAACACAAAAACAACAGGUAAUCCUGUUUGUGAGAUCUCUGUAACAAAGCAAUUAAUGCUUUUUGAGAUGCUAAUGGAAAUAAAAUGUGAAAGAGUUUAUUGUUUCAAAAAAAUAAGGUACGGUGUUUACUUCCACUGCUAUUUGCUUUUUUAAAUUUUAUUUUAAAACAGGGACAUAUUCAGACAUAUUCAAAAUGUGAAUAUUAAAUCUACAUUGCUGACUGUUGGCACAUAGAAGUUAGCUGAAAUGUUAAGUUUUAAUAAUUCCAUAAAUGA